rfam:Pichia membranifaciens NRRL Y-2026 unplaced genomic scaffold PICMEscaffold_2, whole genome shotgun sequence.
GGGUUAAUGGUCUAGUGGUAUGAUUCCUGCUUUGGGAGCAGGAGGCCCUGGGUUCAAUUCCCAGUUGACCCC